UGCUCUUUGCUCCGUUCUCUCACCACACGUAGCGGUUGGUGUCUCUACAAGUUCUUUCUCCAACACAACACAAUCAGCAUACAAGUUGCAUUUUAGUUAUAGUAAGGUAGAAUACACAACUUAGCAUAAUGGGUGUGUCUGUGGUCUGGUUCAAGGUGCAAGUUGGGGGCAUGAUAGGCAUGAGGCCUACCUAUAUAUAAGAAGUGUGAAUGUCAGCAGACAGGGAGGGUCUUGCUGACCAUUUGUGUGUUAAUGAAGGUGGCGUGAUUGUGAUACAUUCUUGUGGGGGAGGAAUUCAUAUGAGUUGAAAGUAUAUGAAAACCACCUCAAUCUAACAACAGGAAGAAGUUUUACUCUACUGGUGAUUCAACAUCACCACUUCCUCUAUUUGGACGAGUCUCCUUGAUAUCAGUGACAUUCGUGUCUACAGCUCUCAUGUACCAACAUGAUCCGAGGCCUCUUCAUCCAGCUGAUUCUAAUACCACUCUGGGUUAAAGGACAAAGUUAUGAAGUUCAACAGAAUCUUCGUGAGCUGUUAAAGGCCCCAGGAGACAAUGUGCUAUUGAACUGCCAACAUAAAAUUACAGACUUCUAUGUGAUUUUGUGGUACAAGCAAACUGUUCAAGGUUCUACCCUUGAUCUCAUUGGAUUUGUGUCCAACACCUCACCAACUGUUGAAAAGCAGUAUGAUAAACUCUUCAAAGUGACUGGGGAUGGUAGUAAAGACAGCACUCUUUAUUUUCUGAAACCGAUCCAAGUUGAAGACAGUGCUGUGUAUUACUGCGCUGCCAGUAAAGCACAAUGCUACAGGUCCCCUUGCUGCCUUACAAUAACCCCAGGAGUGUCUGACACCUGUGUUAAACCACUUCAACUGUCUCUGAAUGAAACUAGAACAUUGUCCCAAAGGGCAACAAGGGGCAGUUCUCCAAAUGACACUGUUGCAGUUCUGUGAACAUCCAGAUGGGUGCACCAGCUCCCUCUAAUGACUAGGGGUGUGCUCUCAUGAUGGCAGGCUGUCACCUCAUUCCAGAGGGGUUGAGUCAACAUGAGCAAGGCUAGUCUCUUUUCUCUAUCAGUUCUCUGGCUAACAGAUAUGAAUUCCCUCUAAAUGAGAUUAAUAGUAUAAAAGGUUUGAUAAACACGAUCAUGAUGUUUCAUUCUUUCCUUAUAUGAGGUGUCU